rnacentral:rRNA from 1 species
UACGGAGGAGGCAAGCGUUAUCCGGAAUUAUUGGGCGUAAAGCGUCCGCAGGUGGCACUUCAAGUCUGUCGUCAAAGACUGGGGCUUAACCCUGGAAAGGCGGUGGAAACUGAAGCGCUAGAGUGUGGUAGGGGUAGAGGGAAUUCCAGGUGUAGCGGUGAAAUGCGUAGAUAUCUGGAGGAAUACCGGUGGCGAAGGCGGCAUCCUGGACCGGCAUUGACGCUGAGGAGCGAAAGCCAGGGGAGCAAACGGG